rnacentral:rRNA from 1 species
CCCGGGCCUUGUACACACCGCCCGUCACACCAUGGGAGUCGAGUUGCUCCAGAAACGGCCGCGCCAACCGCGAAGGGGGUUAGGUCUUUAAGGAGUGACUGGUAACUGGGGUG